rnacentral:lncRNA from 1 species
UGCUUCUAAAUUUAAUCUCUGCGAGUGACCCAAAGGAAAAGGAUGAUGAAGCACCACUUUAGGGAAUUCACCAAGUCCUUUGAGAGUCAAAUUGAUCCUGAAAAAUCUGAAGAACUCAAAAGAACCAAAACAGGUGCAGAUUCUUUCUUAUGAACAUGCACACUCUUGUUACACAUGAAUUUUCAGAAUGGACAAGGUGGAGAUUUAUAAACUUUGGGAUUUGUUUAUGAACUUAAUGAUUUAAAGCAUAAAGUUGAGAUCUUAGUGAUGAUUAAAUAUAUAAGAAGACAAGAUUUCUCGCAUUGUUUGCAGAUAUUGAAAACAACCUGACAAGAGUCCUGAAGCUUAUUCAGAACGAAGAGCAAAGCAAAAGAGAUGGGAACUUGAAAGAAACAGAACUUGUGGGACUAAUUGAGGACUUUUACAAUCAAUACCAAUCACUGUAUGUACUGUGUGGUCGUCUUACGGGAGAGUACGUCAAAGUUAUUCCUCGGGUAGAGAGAUUGUCUUCAGCGUCUUCUUCCUCUAGCUCAGAAUCAGACUACUUUUCUUCAGAGGAAGUAGUAAUUGACACAGUCAAGCAGGAACUGAAACUUGUUAAUAAUAAUACUACAGAAGUCAAUGACCUCAACCAUAAACUUUUCUCCACUGAAAGGGAACAUUCUUCUAAUCUUGCCAAUAAUACCAAUGAAGUUGUUAAGACUCAAGCACCAUUGAACAACAAGGCUAAUGAGCUUGAGGAUCGGUUAAUUUCUCGAAUGCAAGAGGUGGAGAGCUUGAACCGGCAGAAAAGGAAUCUUGAACUACAAGUUGAAAGCCAAGCAUAUGAAGUUAAGCAACUUGGUGCAGAGAAUACCGAGCUUGAAUUGUUAUUGAAAGAGACAAAAAGAGCAGUAUCUGUCUUAAAGGGAAAACUCAAAAGCAAUGAGGAUAAGGCAAUAUCCAAAAAUGUUGAAUUGAUGGCACAAAUCAGCAAGCUUGAACUGGAAGCGAAAUCUUUGAGAAACCAGAAAGGGAAAAUGGAAGAGAAGUUAAAACGCAAUAGAAAUGAAGCAUUAACCCAAAAGAAGGACUUAACAGAAAAGUUGGAUUCAGUAUGCAAACAUAACAAAGAAUUAGAAGCUCAGUUAGAAAGAGAGAGGGAACAAGUUUCGCAAUGCUUGGUUCAGAUGGAAAAGUUAAAGGAGAAAUUAGAUGAAAUGACUUCGAUUGAACAUGGUUUGAUAAAAGAGAAAGAUUUUUUUCUUUCAAGGAUAAAUGACCUGGAACUGGAAAUGGAAACUCGAUGCAGCAACCAACACGAUUUGGAAGAACAGGUACGAAGCGCAAUUCAUGAAAUCAGUCAACUUGUAGAUGAAAGAAAGGCCUUGCAGGAUGGAAAAUAUGAACUUGAAAGAGCAAUUACACAGAAAAAGGAAGAGAUAUCUGCUAUUUUGAGUAAACAUGAGAGUGAUAAGAAUGAAGCUUUUAAGCACGCUAUGGCUUUAACAGAAGAAGUAGAAAUCAUGAAAGUUGAGUUGGACACUUUGCAGGAACAGAAAAGCAUGUUGGAGUUACAAAAUGAGCAAAGGAAAAAUGAAUAUUCAGAAAGCCUAGCAAAAAUGGAAACUCGAUGCAGCAACCAACAUGAUUUGGAAGAAAAGGUACGAAGCGUAAUUCAUGAAAUUAGUCAACUUGUAGUUGAAAGAAAGGCCCUGCAGGAUGAAAAAUAUGAACUAGAAAGAGCAAUGACACAGAAAAGGGAAGAGAUAUCUGCUACAUUGAGUAAACAUGAGAGCGAUAAAAAUGAAACUUCUAUGUACACUAUGGCUUUAACAGAAGAAGUAGAAAGCAUGAGAAUUGAGUUGAACACUUUGCAGGAACAGAAAAGCAUGUUGGAGUUACAAAAUAAACAAAGGCAACAUGAAUAUUCAGAAAGCCUAGCAAAAAUGGAAAACUUGAUCGCCGAGUUAGAAACCAAGGAGGAAACGAUAAAGAAGUUAACAGGGACCAUUGAGCAAAUAAGUGUAGAGAAUAAAGAAGCCAAGAUUUGGUCGAAGAUGAAUCAGCGACUUAUAGAAAGGAAAAUAGAAGAAUUGGCAGAAAAGUUUAAGAGGAAAAUGGAAGACAAUAUCCGCCUUUUGCACCAAAGGAUCCAUAUAGCAGAACAGCUGAACAUUGAAAACAAAGAUAGUUGCAAAAAGACAAAGCAAAGGUAUGAGCAAGAGAACAAAACGUUUCAAGAGAAAAUUGCUUUUUAUGAAAACGAACUAAGGACUAUUAAAGUGAGUGAUCAAGGUGAGUUGGAUUCGGCUGCUAGGAAGGUUGAGGAACACAUAGAUUAUGUGCUGACCCUUGUAUCAAAAAUGUUAUGUGAGGUUCAGUUUGCAAAGGAUUGGAUAAAGAAAAAAAAUGGCGAGAUGAAACAACUGAAAGACAAAGUGGAUCGACUUACAGCAUUACUCAACGACAAAGAAGCAAAGGAAUUGUUGUUAAGAGAAAAACUAUGGGAAUUAGAAGCCAGUGUGAGCAAGGAAGGAGGGGAGAAACUGAACCUUGUAAAGGCAGUGAAUCAGCUUGAAAAGAAAGUUAGAAAAUUGGAAAAGAAUCUAAAACAGAGGGACGAGGAAUUGGUUGGCCUUGGGGAGAAGAAGAGAGAAGCCAUAAGGCAACUUUGUAUUCUUGCCGAGUUUCAUCGCGAAAGUUAUAACCAUCUCAAGGGUCAGAUCACAAAGACAAAGAUCAAUAACAGAACAUGAGUCAAGCAUGAUUCCAAAUUGUGCCAUAGUCGUAAUUAUGUUGCAUUUACCGCAAUUGCAACGAAAUGUGGCAGCCUCAAAUGACACCAUGAUGCAAGCAGUUAAAAUCAUAAUAUUACAGUCACAAUGAGAGCCAUGAGUUAAAAGGACAACAAAGAAGAAAAAUACUUCUUUCCCCAUAACUAGUUUGUUAGCCUCCCUCCAAAUGUCCAAUAUAAACUCUUAAUUUUGAUAUCCUUUUCAUUUUAGGUAUAAUGUUAAGGAUUUAAUAUGUAUAAGUGUUUUUACACUGUCAACAAAUCAUCCAGCAUAAGUUAACUAUCAUUGACUCUCAACCAAUUUUAAUACAAAUCAAUGGUGUAUAAUAUGCUGACAGUGUAAAAAAGAGUUAACAAUGAUGUAAUGUGAACACAUACCUUUGUGCUGAUCUUCACUGUAACAAAGAGUUGCCAUUCUUCUCACCCCUUUUUGUAUUCCUUCAUGUCUGAUAUUUUGCUAGUAAACAUCCCACAUGUUAUUAAUAUUCGAAAUUCUUAUGUUUAACAAAAUGAAAUUUUAACUAAUUAAAUACAUAAAAAUAUCCUUAUAAAACCAAGUAUCUCUAAAAAUAGAUUGCACAUAUAACAAAUGAAAUUCUUAAUCAUGCAAUAUAUGUUGUUGAAUUGGGUAUACUCAAUCCCAAAUUUCCAAUUUGAGGAAGAAUCCAAAAUGAACCAGUUCAAAGAGAGAAUGAUAAACAUAAUAAGCAGUUAAUAGGAAUGAAUAUUUUUAGGGUUGAGAACAAGAGAUUUAAAGUUAGAAAAUUACCCAACUGUUUUAUGUGGAUGAUGAUCUCUUAAAUAUUGUUUCCAGGUACACAAGUAACUCAUUUAUUUC